rnacentral:rRNA from 1 species
UACGGAGGGGGCUAGCGUUGUUCGGAAUUACUGGGCGUAAAGCGCACGUAGGCGGCUUUGCAAGUUAGAGGUGAAAGCCCGGGGCUCAACUCCGGAAUUGCCUUUAAAACUGCAUCGCUAGAAUUGUGGAGAGGUAAGUGGAAUUCCGAGUGUAGAGGUGAAAUGUGUAGAGAUCCGGAGGAACACCAGUGGUGCAAACGGCGCCCUGGGUCCGAACUGACGCUGAAGCACGAAAGCGUGGGGAGCGAACGGG